rnacentral:misc_RNA from 1 species
GAUGAAGAACGUAGCAAAAUGCGAUAAGUAAUGUGAAUUGCAGAAUUCAGUGAAUCAUCGAAUCUUUGAACGCACAUUGCGCCCGCCAGUAUUCUGGCGGGCAUGCCUGUUCGAGCGUCAUUUCAACCAUCAAGCCCCAGGCUUGUGUUGGGGACCUGCGGCUGCCGCAGGCCCUGAAAACCAGUGGCGGGCUCGCUGUCACACCGGGCGUAGUAGAUUUUAUCUCGCUCUGGGCGUGCUGCGGGUUCCGGCCGUUAAAAAACCCUUUUAACCCAAGGUUGACCUCGGAUCAGGUAGGAAUACCCGCUGAACUUAAGCAUAUCAAUAAGCGGAGGA